rnacentral:rRNA from 1 species
UACGUAGGGUCCGAGCGUUGUCCGGAAUUACUGGGCGUAAAGAGCUCGUAGGUGGUUUGUCGCGUUGUUCGUGAAAACUCACAGCUUAACUGUGGGCGUGCGGGCGAUACGGGCAGACUUGAGUACUGCAGGGGAGACUGGAAUUCCUGGUGUAGCGGUGAAAUGCGCAGAUAUCAGGAGGAACACCGGUGGCGAAGGCGGGUCUCUGGGCGCAUACUGACGCUGAGGAGCGAAAGCGUGGGGGAGCGAACAGG